rnacentral:rRNA from 1 species
GAUCAUGGCUCAGGACGAACACUGGCGGCGCGCCUAACACAUGCAAGUCGAACGAGAGAUGAGGAGCUUGCUCUUCAAAUCGAGUGGCGAACGGGUGAGUAACGCGUGAAGAACCUGCCUCAAAGAGGGGGACAACAGUUGGAAACGACUGCUAAUACCGCAUAAGCCCACGGCUCGGCAUCGAGCAGAGGGAAAAGGAGCAAUCCGCUUUGAGAUGGCCUCGCGUCCGAUUAG